GGCUCAGGAUGAACGCUGGCGGUCUGCUUAACACAUGCAAGUCGAGCGGGGUGCUUCGGCACCUAGCGGCGGACGGGUGAGUAACACGUGAGAAUCUGCCCUCAGGACGGGGACAACGACUGGAAACGGUCGCUAAUACCCGAUGUGCCGAGAGGUGAAAUGUAUUUCGCCUGAGGAUGAGCUCGCGACUGAUUAGCUAGUUGGUAGUGUAAUGGACUACCAAGGCGACGAUCAGUAGCUGGUCUGAGAGGAUGAUCAGCCACACUGGGACUGAGACACGGCCCAGACUCCUACGGGAGGCAGCAGUGGGGAAUUUUCCGCAAUGGGCGAAAGCCUGACGGAGCAAGACCGCGUGAGGGAGGAAGGCCUACUGGUUGUAAACCUCUUUUGACAGGGAAGAACACAAUGACGGUACCUGUCGAAUCAGCCUCGGCUAACUCCGUGCCAGCAGCCGCGGUAAUACGGAGGAGGCAAGCGUUAUCCGGAAUUAUUGGGCGUAAAGCGUCCGUAGGUGGUUGGGCAAGUCAGUUGUUAAAGCAUAGAGCUUAACUCUAUAUCGGCAAUUGAAACUGCUCGGCUAGAGUGCGAUAGGGGCAAGGGGAAUUCCCAGUGUAGCGGUGAAAUGCGUAGAUAUUGGGAAGAACAUCGGUGGCGAAAGCGCCUUGCUGGGUCUGCACUGACACUGAGGGACGAAAGCUAGGGGAGCGAAAGGGAUUAGAUACCCCUGUAGUCCUAGCCGUAAACGAUGGGUACUAGGCGUUGUCCGUAUCGACCCGGACAGUGCCGUAGCUAACGCGUUAAGUACCCCGCCUGGGGAGUACGCUCGCAAGAGUGAAACU
rnacentral:rRNA from 1 species